rnacentral:rRNA from 1 species
CAACUUUCAGCAAUGGAUCUCUGUCUCGCAUCGAUGAAGAACGCACGAAUCGCGAUAAGUAGUGUGAAUUGCAGAUUUUCAGUGAAUCAUCGAAUCUUUGAACGCACCUUGCGCCCCUUGGUAUUCCGAGGGGCAUGCCUGUUUGAGUGUCAUU